rnacentral:rRNA from 1 species
CCUACGGGAGGCAGCAGUGGGGAAUAUUGCGCAAUGGGCGAAAGCCUGACGCAGCAACGCCGCGUGUGUGAUAAAGGCUCUCGGGUCGUAAAGCACUGUCAGAAGGGAAGAAACAAAUGACGGUACCUUCAAAGGAAGCACCGGCUAACUCCGUGCCAGCAGCCGCGGUAAU